UCUUAGCAACCGAUUUGGUCCUAGUCCUAUUCUUGGUUUCUAUCUAAACCGAUACAUGCAAGUUAUUCAGCAGCACAGUGAGUAAAACUAGACCCACCCUAAAAAGAGGCAGUCAUAAAUAAAGGUAUCAGAAAAUUAUUUACAAUUCCAAGACACCAAGCCCCCCACAUCUGCAGUACCUAACAUUAUAUAAUAAGCAAAAGCUUGAUAUAGUUAUAGACCAAAGAGCUGGUUAAUUAUGUGCCAGCCACCGCGGUUAUACAUAAAACUCAAAUCAAGAAACCCCUAUCGGUUUAAAAGUGACCAGGAUAAAACUUUCUUUAAAGUGAAAAACAACUCUAGUAUUAACAAGCUUUCACAGUAAACUAACAACUAAUUUAAAAUUACUUUAAUCCCUAUUUAUCCGAAACACUAAAGCUCAAAAAUAAACUGGGAUUAGAUACCCCACUAUAUGAGCCCU
rnacentral:rRNA from 1 species